rnacentral:rRNA from 1 species
UGCCCUAGUAACGGCGAGUGAAGCGGCAAUAGCUCAAAUUUGAAAGCUGGCCUUCUGGUCCGCAUUGUAAUUUGUAGAGGAUGCUUUUAGGCAGCCGCCGGUCUAAGUUCCUUGGAACAGGACGUCAUAGAGGGUGAGAAUCCCGUAUGUGACCGGCUCUGGCACCUUAUGUAAAGCUCCUUCGACGAGUCGAGUUGUUUGGGAAUGCAGCUCUAAAUGGGAGGUAAAUUUCUUCUAAAGCUAAAUACUGGCGAGAGACCGAUAGCGCACAAGUAGAGUGAUCGAAAGAUGAAAAGCACUUUGGAAAGAGAGUUAAAAAGCACGUGAAAUUGUUGAAAGGGAAGCGCUUGCAAUCAGACUUGGACUUGGCUGUUCAACCGGUCUUCUGACCGGCCUAUUCAGUCUUGUCCAGGCCAGCAUCAGUUUCGGCGGCCGGAUAAAGGCCCUGGGAAUGUAGCUGUUCCUUCGGGGACAGUGUUAUAGCCCAGGGUGUAAUACGGCCAGCUGGGACUGAGGUCCGCGCUUCGGCUAGGAUGCUGGCGUAAUGGUUGUAAGCGGCCCGUCUUGAAACACGGACCAAGGAGUCUAACAUCUAUGCGAGUGUUAGGGUGUCAAACCCUUACGCGUAAUGAAAGUGAACGGAGGUGGGAACC